GACGAACGCUGGCGGCGUGCCUAAUACAUGCAAGUAGAACGCUGAAGAGAGGAGCUUGCUCUUCUUGGACGAGUUGCGAACGGGUGAGUAACGCGUAGGUAACCUGCCUUGUAGCGGGGGAUAACUAUUGGAAACGAUAGCUAAUACCGCAUAACAAUAGGUGACACAUGUCAUUUAUUUGAAAGGGGCAAUUGCUCCACUACAAGAUGGACCUGCGUUGUAUUAGCUAGUAGGUGAGGUAACGGCUCACCUAGGCGACGAUACAUAGCCGACCUGAGAGGGUGAUCGGCCACACUGGGACUGAGACACGGCCCAGACUCCUACGGGAGGCAGCAGUAGGGAAUCUUCGGCAAUGGGGGCAACCCUGACCGAGCAACGCCGCGUGAGUGAAGAAGGUUUUCGGAUCGUAAAGCUCUGUUGUAAGUCAAGAACGAGUGUGAGAGUGGAAAGUUCACACUGUGACGGUAGCUUACCAGAAAGGGACGACUAACUACGUGCCAGCAGCCGCGGUAAUACGUAGGUCCCGAGCGUUGUCCGGAUUUAUUGGGCGUAAAGCGAGCGCAGGCGGUUUGAUAAGUCUGAAGUUAAAGGCUGUGGCUCAACCAUAGUUCGCUUUGGAAACUGUCAAACUUGAGUGCAGAAGGGGAGAGUGGAAUUCCAUGUGUAGCGGUGAAAUGCGUAGAUAUAUGGAGGAACACCGGUGGCGAAAGCGGCUCUCUGGUCUGUAACUGACGCUGAGGCUCGAAAGCGUGGGGAGCGAACAGG
rnacentral:rRNA from 1 species